ACAAACUUGGUCAUUUAGAGGAAGUAAAAGUCGUAACAAGGUUUCCGUAGGUGAACCUGCGGAAGGAUCAUUAUUGAAUAUGCUUGACAAGUUGUCGCUGGUCUCUUGAGACAUGUGCACGCUUGUCUUGACUUCUAUUCAUCCACCUGUGCACCUUGCAUGGUCUUCUGACAAAAGUGGGCCUUUCAAUUCACUGGUAAACCAACCAUUGGAGUUGAGACUUGUCUCAUCCAGAGACUCUUCUCUCCCUGAGGUCAAUGGAGUCAGAGACUGUGUGUAUUUAUCACAAACCUAAUUGUAUGUCAUUAGAAUGUGUUCAAUGGGCCUCAGUGCCUAUAAAACUAUAUACAACUUUCAGCAACGGAUCUCUUGGCUCUCGCAUCGAUGAAGAACGCAGC
rnacentral:misc_RNA from 1 species